AUUGAACGCUGGCGGCAUGCUUUACACAUGCAAGUCGAACGGUAACAGGGAGCUUGCUCCGCUGACGAGUGGCGAACGGGUGAGUAAUGCAUCGGAACGUACCGUGUAAUGGGGGAUAACGUAGCGAAAGUUACGCUAAUACCGCAUACGCCCUGAGGGGGAAAGUGGGGGACCGCAAGGCCUCACGUUAUACGAGCGGCCGAUGUCGGAUUAGCUAGUUGGUGGGGUAAAGGCCUACCAAGGCGACGAUCCGUAGCGGGUCUGAGAGGAUGAUCCGCCACACUGGGACUGAGACACGGCCCAGACUCCUACGGGAGGCAGCAGUGGGGAAUUUUGGACAAUGGGGGCAACCCUGAUCCAGCCAUGCCGCGUGAGUGAAGAAGGCCUCGG
rnacentral:rRNA from 1 species